rnacentral:rRNA from 1 species
AUGGGCUAUUUUCUCAGAAAUCAGCCCAGUUUCCUCUUUAUUCUGAUCAUCCUGCACUUUGGGGCCCGUGCAGCAAGAGCGCUAAGUUCAGAUGGUGAAGCACUUCUCGCCUUUAAGAAGGCAAUCACAAAUUCAGAUGGGAUCUUUCUAAAUUGGCACGAACAAGACGCGGAUCCCUGCAACUGGAAGGGUGUUAAAUGCGAUGGUCACAGCAAGAGAGUGAUUUAUCUGAUUCUCCCAUAUCACAAGUUAGUCGGGCCCAUACCACCAGAAGUUGGAAGGCUAAAUCAGCUUCAGACUUUAUCACUACAGGGGAACAGUUUGUAUGGUUCACUCCCUCCCGAGCUAGGAAAUUGUACCAAGUUGCAACAACUAUAUCUACAAGGAAAUUAUAUAAGUGGAUAUAUCCCUUCGGAAUUUGGUGAUCUGGUUGAGCUCGAGACAUUGGACUUAUCCAGCAAUACGUUGAAGGGAUCAAUCCCGCAUUCUCUUGAUAACCUGACCAAACUUGCAUCAUUCAAUGUAUCCAUGAACUUUCUGACAGGAGCAAUACCAUCAGAUGGUUCACUUGCCAAUUUUAAUGAAACUUCCUUUAUUGGGAACCGUGAUUUAUGUGGUAGGCAGAUUAAUUCAGUGUGCAAAGAUGCACUUCAAUCACCAUCAGAUGGCUCCCAGCAGCCUUUGAAAGAUGACACAAAUAAAAGGAGUUCCAGAGUUGUUAUAAGUGCGGUCGCGACAGUGGGAGCUCUGCUAUUAGUGGCUCUGAUGUGUUUCUGGGGUUGUUUUCUGUACAAAAAUUUCGGGAAGAAAGAUAUCCAUGGUUUCAGGGUAGAGCUAUGUGGAGGCUCUUCUGUUGUGAUGUUCCAUGGGGACCUCCCUUACUCCACGAAAGAUAUCCUUAAGAAGUUAGAGACCAUGGAUGAGGAAAAUAUCAUUGGAGCAGGGGGCUUUGGGACCGUGUAUAAACUUGCAAUGGAUGAUGGUAACGUUUUUGCAUUGAAAAGGAUAGUGAAAACAAAUGAGGGGCGUGACAAAUUCUUUGAUAGAGAACUUGAGAUAUUGGGAAGUGUUAAGCACCGUAAUUUGGUCAAUCUCCGUGGCUAUUGCAAUUCCCCUUCAUCGAAACUGUUGAUAUAUGACUACCUUCCAGGUGGAAGCCUGGAUGAAGUGCUACAUGAAAAAACUGAGCAGUUGGAAUGGGAGGCACGCAUUAACAUAAUACUUGGAGCUGCAAAAGGCCUGGCUUACUUGCAUCAUGAUUGCUCACCUCGAAUAAUACAUCGUGAUAUUAAGUCGAGCAAUAUCUUACUGGACGGCAAUUUUGAGGCACGUGUAUCAGACUUCGGACUUGCAAAGCUACUGGAGGAUGAAGAAUCUCAUAUUACUACAAUAGUUGCAGGAACAUUUGGAUAUCUUGCGCCAGAGUAUAUGCAAAGUGGCAGGGCCACCGAAAAGACGGAUGUAUACAGUUUUGGAGUUUUGGUACUCGAGAUACUGAGCGGAAAGCGACCUACUGAUGCAUCAUUCAUUGAGAAGGGGUUGAACAUUGUUGGAUGGCUGAACUUCUUGGCUGGAGAGAGCAGAGAGCGGGAGAUCGUGGAUCCGGAUUGCGACGGCGUGCAGAUCGAGACCCUGGACGCCCUGCUCUCUCUCGCCAAGCAAUGUGUGAGCUCUUUGCCGGAGGAGCGGCCGACGAUGCACAGGGUGGUACAGAUGCUGGAGUCGGAUGUAAUUACACCGUGCGGCAGUGAUUUCUACGAUUCAGAGUAG